rnacentral:rRNA from 1 species
GUGGGGAAUCUUCCGCAAUGGACGAAAGUCUGACGGAGCAACGCCGCGUGAGUGAAGAAGGUUUUCGGAUCGUAAAGCUCUUUCGUUAGGGACGAACGUGCUCUUUGUGAAUAAUGAGGAGUAAUGACGGUACCUAAAUAAGAAGCCACGGCUAACUACGUGCCAGCAGCCGCGGUAAUACGUAGGUGGCAAGCGUUGUCCGGAAUUAUUGGGCGUAAAGCGCGCGCAGGCGGGAUAUCAAGUCUGUCUUAAAAGUGCGAGGCUCAACCUCGUGAGGGGACAGAAACUGGGAUUCUUGAGUGUCGGAGAGGAAAGUGGAAUUCCAAGUGUAGCGGUGAAAUGCGUAGAGAUUUGGAAGAACACCAGUGGCGAAGGCGACUUUCUGGACGAUGUCUGACGCUGAGGCGCGAAAGCUAGGGGAGCGAACGGGAUUAGAAACCCUAGUAGUCC